ACAUAUUCACCCUGCCCUAUCCCCAACACUGUGACCUACAAGUAUCUCUUUCCAAGGCUGUUUCCAUGGCUGCUGCUCCUUCUCCUCCUCCUCCACUGCUCUCUUCAAAGCUGUCAGACAGGGACAUUUAAGUCUGCAGAGGUUACUGCUGUCUUGAACUCUCCACCCCAAAUCAACAGAAUAUACAUUUCUCCAGUCUUGAAGAAACCUCCAGUUGUGGCGUGAUGAGUAGGCUCUUCCUGUGCUAUGGAGGGGUACCUGG
rnacentral:lncRNA from 10 species